UUAAUCUUUAGUUACAGUUUCUCAUUGAAACUACAUAAUAGGCAGAAUUAUCGGAUUAAGGCAGCAGGGUGUUUUGAGGGAGAUUUGGCUGCUAUUUCAACCAGGCCUAGCUACCAUGUACAGGUCUGAACUUAAUUUUUAUUAACAUAUGCCUAACCGAAAACGAUCAUAGCCACAUCAUCCAAACUGACUGGGUAAAACCGAGCUUAGCUGCUAGUACACAUAUAUAUAUUUUCAUAUGGAUUUUAAUUUCUUGAAAUUAUCACUUCUUUU